rfam:Salmo salar isolate Sally breed double haploid chromosome ssa03, whole genome shotgun sequence.
UGCAUUCACUACUGUAAGUCGCUCUGGAUAAGAGCGUCUGCUAAAUUACGUAAA